rnacentral:rRNA from 1 species
ACGAGUGGCGGACGGGUGAGUAAUGUCUGGGAAACUGCCCGGUGGAGGGGGAUAACUACUGGAAACGGUAGCUAAUACCGCAUAACGCCGCAAGACCAAAGAGGGGGACCUUCGGGCCUCUUGCCACCGGAUGUGCCCAGAUGGGAUUAGCUUGUUGGUGAGGUAACGGCUCACCAAGGCGACGAUCCCUAGCUGGUCUGAGAGGAUGACCAGCCACACUGGAACUGAGACACGGUCCAGACUCCUACGGGAGGCAGCAG